GCCCGAAAUAAUUGGUGGUACCGAUCGCAAGUUCGCGAGCAAAGCAAGCAGCUCGUCCGCUUGUCCGGCUAACAAUGGCUGCUGCUGCUGCCGCCGUCGCCUCCUCCUCGUCGCCACUCUCUCUCUUCUCCUGUUUCUCUUCCUCCUCUUCAUCCUCAAAAUCACCAUCUCACUCUCCAAGAUUAAUAAGAGCUUUCGGCCCCAAUUUCUCCACCUCCGUUCCUCCGAGAUUACUCCUAAAGAGAUCUGAUAAGUCGAUUGCAUGCCCCUCCCGAAUCUUUCUCCUCCUCCAGAGAUUAACGCCGAUCGCGGCGACCAGUGGGCUGUUCGAAUCCGUCAUCACCGUCCUCGCUUCCGUCGCCCUUUCCGCGUCGCUCCUCGUCUCCGACGUCGACCCAGCCUCCGCCUUCGUCGUCACCACCCCGAGGAGGCUCCAAUCCGACGAGCUCGCCACCGUGCGGCUCUUCCAGGAGAACACCCCUUCCGUCGUCUACAUCACCAACCUCGCCGCGCGGCAAGAUGCCUUCACGCUGGACGUGUUGGAGGUGCCGCAGGGCUCCGGCUCGGGCUUCGUCUGGGACAAGGACGGCCAUAUCGUGACCAACUACCAUGUCAUCCGCGGGGCAUCCGACCUCAGGGUUACUUUGGCUGAUCAGACCACAUACGAAGCAAGAGUCGUCGGAUUUGACCAAGACAAGGAUGUUGCUGUCUUGCGCAUUGAUGCACCCAAGGAAAAGUUGCGACCCAUACCGGUUGGCAUCUCAUCGGACCUGCUAGUGGGUCAAAAAGUUUAUGCCAUUGGCAAUCCUUUUGGCCUGGAUCACACGCUUACUACCGGUGUUAUCAGUGGACUUCGGAGAGAAAUAAGCUCUGCUGCCACCGGACGUCCUAUACAGGAUGUAAUACAGACUGAUGCAGCUAUAAAUCCUGGUAAUAGUGGUGGUCCACUGCUUGAUAGUUCCGGAAACUUGAUAGGCAUAAACACAGCGAUAUACUCCCCCUCUGGAGCAUCCUCUGGUGUUGGAUUUUCCAUUCCAGUUGAUACAGUCAAUGGUAUCGUUGAUCAGAUUGUAAAAUUUGGAAAAGUUACACGACCUAUAUUAGGAAUCAAAUUUGCACCAGAUCAGUCAGUUGAACAGCUUGGAGUUAGUGGAGUGCUUGUCUUGGAUGCUCCUGCAAAUGGUCCAGCUGGAAAAGCGGGCCUGCAACCAACCAAGCGGGAUGCAUAUGGCCGGCUUAUUUUGGGAGAUAUCAUUACAUCAGUGAAUGGUAAAAAAGUCACAAAUGGCAGUGAUUUGUAUCGAAUCUUGGAUCAAUGCAAAGUUGGUGAUACGGUGACUGUGGAAGUUCUGCGUGGUGAUCACAAAGAGAAAAUCUCUGUAGUGCUUGAGCCAAAGCCUGAUGAGUCAUAAGAAUUAGCAUAAUGGCUACUCAGCAUUUUUACAAAUCCUAAUUGGGACUUUCUGCUCCAUGUUUUUCAACGGUCAUGCAAAAGAAAGAUGGAGGAAAUGCUAUCCCAUGCCUCAUCACAAGCUGGCUGCUGGAAUUCCUUGUGAACAAUACUAGUAUCUGCAAGGAUGAUGAUGAAUUUUAAUGUCUGCUAUCUUAGUCUGGUAAAUGUAUAACUGUGGAGGUUUCUAGUAUUUGGCUGGGCUCUCAAGGUAAUAAGUUGUUUAAGGGGUCAUCCCAAGCUUAGAUUAAGUAUAUACAUGAGAGGUAAAGCCAAUCAUGAAUUUUCAAUGUAUGGAUUGUACUCAUGAAUUUUCAAGCAAAAAAGAUUACAUGAUGCAUGUGAAUUAAAGUGGUAUUUCUCUUACA